rnacentral:misc_RNA from 1 species
GAUCAUUACCGAGUGAGGGCCCUCUGGGUCCAACCUCCCACCCGUGUCUAUUGUACCUUGUUGCUUCGGCGGGCCCGCCGUUUCGACGGCCGCCGGGGAGGCCUCGCGCCCCCGGGCCCGCGCCCGCCGAAGACCCCAACAUGAACGCUGUUCUGAAAGUAUGCAGUCUGAGUUUGAUUAUCAUAAUCAGUUAAAACUUUCAACAACGGAUCUCUUGGUUCCGGCAUCGAUGAAGAACGCAGCGAAAUGCGAUAAUUAAUGUGAAUUGCAGAAUUCAGUGAAUCAUCGAGUCUUUGAACGCACAUUGCGCCCCCUGGUAUUCCGGGGGGCAUGCCUGUCCGAGCGUCAUUGCUGCCCUCAAGCACGGCUUGUGUGUUGGGCCCCCGUCCCCGGUCACCCCCGGGGACGGGCCCGAAAGGCAGCGGCGGCACCGCGUCCGGUCCUCGAGCGUAUGGGGCUUUGUCACCCGCUCUGUAGGCCUGGCCGGCGCCAGCCGACACCCCAACUUUAUUUCUAAGGUUGACCUCGGAUCAG